rnacentral:misc_RNA from 1 species
CUGUGUACGACGGCAAAGUAGACUCUCUCGUUGGUUCAGCAUAGUACCCAAUGUUUCCGUUGGUGGGGGACAAGCGCCGUUGCCUUCAGAGAAUGUCACCCUGCAACGUUACCGUUGCUGCGGUGACACCCGCGCGCUGUGGACACUCAGGACGCCUACACAGAGCAAUCCCGCCGUGCUUACGCGUGGUGGGAGGCUCGGGAGGCUUGACCGAUGUUGGCUACGCGAGCGCAUGAGUAGCUUUGGACCCGUGUUUGCCGGUAGAUCCCCCGUUUUCGUGCGGCCGACUACAGGCGCCGUGUCCCGUCAUUGGUUUGGCUUAUAUGCUGAUGUUGCCUUUCAAGUGCUUGCGUGCUGGUACCCGACCUACGGGAAGUGGUGCUUCUAACACGUUCGCCUCGCGGUGGACACCUUCGGGUGUGCCGCUGCGGCCUAACGGCGCUUGCGGCGUUUCCUCGUGGUUCCGGCACUCCUAGUGCCCGGUGCUACCAAGGCAGCCUCGCUCACGCUGUUGGUCUCGGAUGUUGCUCACGAUAAAGAGUCUUGGCCCUUUUGGUUGCCACGACCCGACCCUUAAGCUGCUCUCCGAAUUUGAGAACAACCGUGAACAGGUGUUGCCUCUACCUCUCCACAGUUAGUGGUAGGAUACGUAACAUUCUGCGCCGAUCCUCAAUCAAGUAGGAUGAGCUUAGCCCGCUCAAUCGUGACAACCGGCUCGGCCGUUGCCUUGGCCUUGACACGCAAGUGGAAGGGCGGACAAAGACCGACGCUGGACGUCAACGAGGACGUG